AACCUCCGCAAUGUGAGAAAUCGCGACGGGGGGAUCCCAAGUGCCAUUCUUAACGGGAUGGCUUUUCAUUAGUGUAAAGAGCUUUUGGAAUAAGAGCUGGGCAAGACCGGUGCCAGCCGCCGCGGUAACACCGGCAGCUCUAGUGGUAGCAAUUUUUAUUGGGCCUAAAGCGUCCGUAGCCGGUUUAAUAAGUCUCUGGUGAAAUCCUGUAGCUUAACUGUGGGAAUUGCUGGAGAUACUAUUAGACUUGAGACCGGGAGAGGUUAGAGGUACUCCCAGGGUAGAGGUGAAAUUCUGUAAUCCUGGGAGGACCGCCUGUUGCGAAGGCGUCUAACUGGAACGGUUCUGACGGUGAGGGACGAAAGUUAGGGGCGCGAACCGGAUUAGAUACCCGGGUAGUCCUAACUGUAAACGAUGCGGACUUGGUGUUGGGAUGGCUUUGAGCUGUUUCAGUGCCGAAGGGAAGCUGUUAAGUCCGCCGCCUGGGAAGUACGGUCGCAAGACUGAAACUUAAAGGAAUU
rnacentral:rRNA from 1 species